UGGAGAGUUUGAUCCUGGCUCAGGACGAACGCUGGCGGCGUGCCUAAUACAUGCAAGUCGAGCGGACCUUUYAAAAGCUUGCUUUUGAAAGGUCAGCGGCGGACGGGUGAGUAACACGUGGGCAACCUGCCUGUAAGACUGGGAUAACUUCGGGAAACCGGAGCUAAUACCGGAUAAUAUAAGGAACCUCCUGGUUCUUUAUUGAAAGAUGGUUUCGGCUAUCACUURCAGAUGGGCCCGCGGCGCAUUAGCUAGUUGGUGAGGUAACGGCUCACCAAGGCRACGAUGCGUAGCCGACCUGAGAGGGUGAUCGGCCACACUGGGACUGAGACACGGCCCAGACUCCUACGGGAGGCAGCAGUAGGGAAUCUUCCACAAUGGACGAAAGUCUGAUGGAGCAACGCCGCGUGAGCGAUGAAGGCCUUCGGGUCGUAAAGCUCUGUUGUUAGGGAAGAACAAGUGCGAGAGUAACUGCUCGCACCUUGACGGUACCUAACCAGAAAGCCACGGCUAACUACGUGCCAGCAGCCGCGGUA
rnacentral:rRNA from 1 species